rnacentral:rRNA from 1 species
CCUACGGGAGGCAGCAGUGGGGAAUUUUGGACAAUGGGCGCAAGCCUGAUCCAGCAAUGCCGCGUGAGUGAAGAAGGCCUUCGGGUUGUAAAGCUCUUUUGUCAGGGAAGAAACGGUGGGGCUAAUAUCUCCUACUAAUGACGGUACCUGAAGAAUAAGCACCGGCUAACUACGUGCCAGCAGCCGCGGUAAUACGUAGGGUGCAAGCGUUAAUCGGAAUUACUGGGCGUAAAGCGUGCGCAGGCGGUUUUGUAAGUCUGUCGUGAAAGCCCCGGGCUCAACCUGGGAAUUGCGAUGGAGACUGCAAGGCUUGAAUCUGGCAGAGGGGGGUAGAAUUCCACGUGUAGCAGUGAAAUGCGUAGAGAUGUGGAGGAACACCGAUGGCGAAGGCAGCCCCCUGGGUCAAGAUUGACGCUCAUGCACGAAAGCGUGGGGAGCAAACAGGAUUAGAUACCCUGGUAGUCCACGCCCUAAACGAUGUCUACUAGUUGUCGGGUUUUAAUUAACUUGGUAACGCAGCUAACGCGUGAAGUAGACCGCCUGGGGAUACGGUCGCAAGAUUAAAACUUAAAGGAAUUGAACCGGNNGAGAGNGCGAGACGACGACGAGGAGAGG